ACAACGGCCCUUUUCAGGGCCCCCAAGAAAUCCUACGAGAACACCU
rfam:Lasius niger Lnig_2.1_2916, whole genome shotgun sequence.